UACGGAGGGAGCUAGCGUUGUUCGGAAUUACUGGGCGUAAAGCGCACGUAGGCGGCUUUGUAAGUUAGAGGUGAAAGCCCGGGGCUCAACCCCGGAACUGCCUUUGAUACUGCAAAUCUCGAGUCCGGAAGAGGUGAGUGGAAUUCCUGGUGUAGCGGUGAAAUGCGCAGAUAUCAGGAGGAACACCGGUGGCGAAGGCGGGUCUCUGGGCCGAUACUGACGCUGAGGAGCGAAAGCGUGGGGAGCGAACAGG
rnacentral:rRNA from 1 species